rnacentral:lncRNA from 1 species
GAAGCCACCUCAUUCAGUGCUCUCCACGCAGGAAUCUCCCAGGGCUGCAAACUUCCUUCAGAUCUCUGCCCUACAGCUUGGCUUCAUUGAAAAGAGAAGAACUGGAAGUAAAAGACAGUUACAAGCUCUAGUUAAAGAGAAGAUGGGAAUGCCAAGUGGACUCUGCUUCCCUCAAAAGGACUUUCUUCUAUCUCCCAGCUCCAUUCCAGACUCAGGAGACUGAAUGGCCAAAGUCUUCAUUUGCUGGUAUUGUCAAAUCCCCACCCCACCCCACUGCCACCUUAGUUCCUAAAUAAAGUUUAUUUGUGCCUUCAUUGCUUGGCCCUAUU